UCAAAAAAAAGGAAGUCACGUUUUUCUUCUAAAAAAGGUCCCUUUUUUUUCCAGAAAAAUGUGACUCUAAAAGUUGUGUGUGUUACGAAAAGCUUCUUUGAACAAAUGUGCAUGUUGCGAACAGACUCUUAAGGUAAUUAUAUUUACCUGGUAUUGCUUCAAAAGUAAGACCUAAUUUACAAAUUUUUCUUCUUCUCUCUAUUGUUUUCUACAACUCACAAAAACUUAUUCUUGUGGGAAAUUUCGAAUUAAUUGUAAAUUUAUUGGCUUUGUAAAAUUCUGGAGGAAUUCUGCCACCAUCCCUGUAGCAAUGCAGUGGGAAGCUUAAAUUCCUUAAGACCAGAGAUUAUAAAGCCAAUCUUUCUUCCCCAAAUAUUAUUUUCUAACAAUCUUAAGGAAUUUAAUCACUGCAUUGGAGGCUACUGGAAGUGAUACUGUUUUCAACAAGUUGUUCGAAGUAUUCAAACUGGACCGCUUUGAUGGCUCAAAUUUCACCCGCUGGAAAGACAAGUUGUUGUUUUUUCUUACGGAGUUAAAGAAUUGCUUAUCUACUAAGUUUUGAUCUUCUGACAAUUCCAGAACCUACUGCUCAGGAUACUGACAAAAUCAAGGCAACACGCAAGAAACGCGAAGAUUAUGAGAUUGGUGGUAUGAUUCUGGUGCUACCAUUCAUGUUUGCAACGACAAGAGUUUCUUUUAACACUACGAAGCAGCAGCAAGUGACGAAAAGGUUUUAAUGGGAAAUCACGACACUGCCAAGGUCCUUGAAAAAGGAACAGUUGAACUGCAAUUUACUUCUUCAAAGAAGUUGAUUUUAAUAAAUGUUCAUCAUGUCCUGAUGUUAGGAAGAAUUUAAUUUCGGCAAAUUUAUUAUGUAAGAAAGGCCUCAAAGCUAUUACAGAGGUAGAAAAUAUUAUCUUCUUUAAGAAUGUGUAUUUGUAGGACAAGGCUACUCAUGUGAGGGCAUGUUCAAAUUAAAUAUUAAUAAAGUUGAUGUUUUUGCUUA